rnacentral:rRNA from 1 species
AGAGUUUGAUCCUGGCUCAGGACGAACGCUGGCGGCGCGCCUAACACAUGCAAGUCGAACGAGCGAGAGAGAGCUUGCUUUCUCGAGCGAGUGGCGAACGGGUGAGUAACGCGUGAGGAACCUGCCUCAAAGAGGGGGACAACAGUUGGAAACGACUGCUAAUACCGCAUAAGCCCACGGGUCGGCAUCGACCAGAGGGAAAAGGAGCAAUCCGCUUUGAGAUGGCCUCGCGUCCGAUUAGCUAGUUGGUGAGGUAACGGCCCACCAAGGCGACGAUCGGUAGCCGGACUGAGAGGUUGAACGGCCACAUUGGGACUGAGACACGGCCCAGACUCCUACGGGAGGCAGCAGUGGGGAAUAUUGCACAAUGGGGGAAACCCUGAUGCAGCGACGCCGCGUGGAGGAAGAAGGUCUUCGGAUUGUAAACUCCUGUUGUUGAGGAAGAUAAUGACGGUACUCAACAAGGAAGUGACGGCUAACUACGUGCCAGCAGCCGCGGUAAAACGUAGGUCACAAGCGUUGUCCGGAAUUACUGGGUGUAAAGGGAGCGCAGGCGGGAAGACAAGUUGGAAGUGAAAUCCAUGGGCUCAACCCAUGAACUGCUUUCAAAACUGUUUUUCUUGAGUAGUGCAGAGGUAGGCGGAAUUCCCGGUGUAGCGGUGGAAUGCGUAGAUAUCGGGAGGAACACCAGUGGCGAAGGCGGCCUACUGGGCACCAACUGACGCUGAGGCUCGAAAGUGUGGGUAGCAAACAGGAUUAGAUACCCUGGUAGUCCACACCGUAAACGAUGAUUACUAGGUGUGGGGGGACUGACCCCUUCCGU